ACGUACACUCCUACGGGAGGCAGCAGUGGGGAAUUUUGGACAAUGGGCGAAAGCCUGAUCCAGCCAUGCCGCGUGCAGGAUGAAGGCCUUCGGGUUGUAAACUGCUUUUGUACGGAACGAAACGGCCUUUUCUAAUAAAGAGGGCUAAUGACGGUACCGUAAGAAUAAGCACCGGCUAACUACGUGCCAGCAGACGCGGUAAUACGUAGGGUGCAAGCGUUAAUCGGAAUUACUGGGCGUAAAGCGUGCGCAGGCGGUUAUGUAAGACAGUUGUGAAAUCCCCGGGCUCAACCUGGGAACUGCAUCUGUGACUGCAUAGCUAGAGUACGGUAGAGGGGGAUGGAAUUCCGCGUGUAGCAGUGAAAUGCGUAGAUAUGCGGAGGAACACCGAUGGCGAAGGCAAUCCCCUGGACCUGUACUGACGCUCAUGCACGAAAGCGUGGGGAGCAAACAGGAUUAGAUACCCGUGUAGUCC
rnacentral:rRNA from 1 species